rnacentral:sRNA from 1 species
GCCAGGCAUGGUGGCACAUGUCUGUAAUCUCAGUAACUCAGGAGGCUGAGGCAGGAGGAUGGCAAGUUCAAAGCCAGCCUCAGUAACUUAGUGAGACCCUAAGCAACUUAGCAAGACCCUGUCUCAA